rnacentral:rRNA from 1 species
AGAGUUUGAUCCUGGCUCAGGAUGAACGCUGGCGGUAUGCUUAACACAUGCAAGUCGAACGAUGUUUUAGGACAUAGUGGCGGACGGGUGAGUAACGCGUAAGAAUCUGCCUUCAGGUUUGGGACAACCACUGGAAACGGUGGCUAAUACCGAAUGUGCCGAGAGGUGAAAGGCUUGCUGCCUGAAGAAGAGCUUGCGUCUGAUUAGCUAGUUGGUGGGGUAAGAGCCUACCAAGGCGACGAUCAGUAGCUGGUCUGAGAGGAUGAUCAGCCACACUGGGACUGAGACACGGCCCAGACUCCUACGGGAGGCAGCAGUGGGGAAUUUUCCGCAAUGGGCGAAAGCCUGACGGAGCAAUACCGCGUGAGGGAGGAAGGCUCUUGGGUUGUAAACCUCUUUUCUCAGGAAAGAAAAAAAUGACGGCUACCUGAGAAAUAAGCAUCGGCGAACUCCGUGCCAGCAGCCGCCGGUAAUACGGAGGAGGCAAGCGUUAUCCGGAAUGAUUGGGCGUAAAGGGUCCGCAGGUGGUAGUGUAAGUCUCGCUGUUAAAGAAUCACGCUCAACGUGAUCAAAGCAGUGGAAACUACACAACUAGAGUACGGUAGGGGCAGAAGGAAUUCCUGGUGUAGCGGUGAAAUGCGUAGAUAUCAGGAAGAACACCGGUGGCGAAAGCGUUCUGCUAGACCUGUACUGACACUGAGGGACGAAAGCUAGGGGAGCGAAUGGGAUUAGAUACCCCAGUAGUCCUAGCCGUAAACGAUGGAUACUAGGUGUGGCUUGUAUCGACCCGAGCCGUACCGUAGCUAACGCGUUAAGUAUCCCGCCUGGGGAGUACGCACGCAAGUGUGAAACUCAAAGGAAUUGACGGGGGCCCGCACAAGCGGUGGAGUAUGUGGUUUAAUUCGAUGCAACGCGAAGAACCUUACCAAGGCUUGACAUGUCGCGAAUCUCGAUGAAAGUUGAGAGUGCCUUCGGGAGCGCGAACACAGGUGGUGCAUGGCUGUCGUCAGCUCGUGUCGUGAGAUGUUGGGUUAAGUCCCGCAACGAGCGCAACCCUCGUUUUUAGUUGCCAGCAUUAAGUUGGGCACUCUAGAGAGACUGCCGGUGACAAACCGGAGGAAGGUGGGGAUGACGUCAAGUCAGCAUGCCCCUUACGCCUUGGGCUACACACGUACUACAAUGCUCCGGACAAAGGGCAGCUACACAGCGAUGUGAUGCAAAUCUCAUAAACCGGAGCUCAGUUCAGAUCGAAGGCUGCAACUCGCCUUCGUGAAGGAGGAAUCGCUAGUAAUUGCAGGUCAGCAUACUGCAGUGAAUUCGUUCCCGGGCCUAGUACACACCGCCCGUCACACCAUGGAAGUUGGUCACGCCCGAAGUCAUUACCCCAACCGAAAGGAGGGGGAUGCCUAAGGUAGGACUGAUGACUGGGGGUGAAGUCGUAACAAGGUAGCCGUACCGGAAGGUGUGGCUGGAUCACCUCCUUUUAGGGAGACAUAAUCCAUUUAGAAACGUUAAGGAAAUUGCCAUAACAACCUAAAUUGGUCUGACCUAGGUCGGUCGAGAUUGGGGAAAUCUUUCAAAGUAUUAUUUGGCUUAGUUCAAACUAAAAAAACAUAUUGGAAAACCACAGCAACUAACAAAAGUUAGACUGCUGGAGCAAGUUCCAGUCAGAACCUUGAAAACUGCAUAAGAGAAAGAGUAAAAAAGCAGGCAGUCUUUAUCAGACUGCAAGUGUCAAGAUAAUAGAGCUAACUUGGA